CAAUAGCGUAUAUUUAAGUUGUUGCAGUUAAAAAGCUCGUAGUUGGAUUUCGGGUGGUACGCAGCGGUCUCGCAUUGCGUUUGUACUGCUGCAGCCCUCCUUCUUGCCGGGGGCGGCCUCUCGGACUUCACUGUCUGGGGGUCAGAAUCGGCGAUGUUACUUUGAGUAAAUUAGAGUGUUCAAAGCAAGCUUACGCUCUGAAUAUAAUAGCAUGGGAUAACACGACAGGACUCUGGCCUAUCGUGUUGGUCUAUAGGACCAGAGUAAUGAUUAAGAGGGACAGUCGGGGGCAUUCGUAUUCCGUUGUCAGAGGUGAAAUUCUUGGAUUUACGGAAGACGAACAUCUGCGAAAGCAUUUGCCAAGGAUGUUUUCAUUGA
rnacentral:rRNA from 1 species